AAAUUAUUGACCAAUCAAAAAUUCCAAUGGGAUACCACUUAAAUAAGACUAGAAAAUCCGGAAAGAAAAAACUCUCAUUGGAAUCCUCAACCUCCACUGAUAAUUCCUCUGCCACAUCAUCAUCACCGUCCUCCUCUGAUGAAUUUGAGUCCUCAAAACGGCACAAACGCACCCAUAAACGACGACAUGGUAAAGACCGGGAUGAAGGGCGUAAAAGCAAGAAAUCACGAAGAGAUUAUAAAGAGAAGAACAAGAAGACGCAUACUAAAGAAACAAGAAAGGAGAAAAGAAGAGAGAAAAAGAAAAGAAGGUAUGAGUCAGAUGACCAAAGUGGGUCCGAGUCGGAGGAUUUGGAGCCCAAGAGACAGCAAGAGGUUACACACGUUGUGGCUAAAUAUAUAUUAAAUGAGUUUUCAGGUGUUGCUGGGGACUUAGAGCAGGUAUUUACUAGUAAGCUUUUUAUGCUUAGCUUAAAAAUGAAUAAUAUUAAUUUUUUGUGUUUGAUUAUAGUGAUUUAGUAUCUUUUUCGCUUUUUGAAAAAUCUAACAGUUCACUUCUUCAUUGAAUCAAUUGGCUUUACUGUUUGUUAUGUAAUGGGUGUUUGAAAUAAAGUUACUUUAUCUGUAACAAAUACUGGGAUUUUGUUGUGGAAAAAUAUAUGGACAUCUUAAUGAAUAAAAAAGAUAUAUAUUUUUGCUUCUUUUACAAUUUGACUCUUGAUAAGUUGGUCAAAAAAAGAAAAAAAUGAGCCCGAGUAGUAAUGUUAGCUGAAGAAAAAAUGAUAAGCAUAAAAAGGAAAGAAAUUAGGUUGCUAGAUGUUGGUGAAGGCAAAUGAAAAUUUUUAUAAAGUCCAGAAAACUACGUCAAUUUGUGCUUUACCAAUAUAGUUACUCUACACUAUUGAUUAUUUGUUUCAGUCAUAUUUUGUGCUGUUGGUCUCUAGAUCAAGGCAAUUAGAGGAUUUUGUCCCACUUUAUUGAGUGAUUAAUAGAUAGACUUGGUGCUAAUUCUAUAUUUGCAUUAUCUGCAUAAAAUAGAGAAUGUUUGGUUAAGGUAAAAUUUUUUACUUAUAAGAUCACUUUGAAGUAAAUAAGUAAUUAUUUUAAUUGAUCAAAAAAGAAAAUUAGUUAUUUAUUUUGAGGACAUGGUAAGAGUUACUUUCAAAAUAAUUUUUAGUUUUUUAAAGCUUAGCCAAAGCGAGCUAAAAAAUCUGAAAUGAGAAAGAGGGUGAAGUUCCUCAAGUAUAGCCUGGCUGAGAAUUCUGAGAGCUAUACAUUUCCAAGCAACGAUGGUGGGAGUGAUGUUGAGAAUCCAUCGUCUGAUGAAGAAUUGGAAGUACGGUAACAAUGAAGACCUUGAGGUAGAAAUAAUGGCUUUAUACAUUCUACAGUGACUUUUAUGCACUAUAUGAAGACACAAUGACACGGUCGACUUUUGUUUGGGGCGACUUUCUUUGUGCCCAACCAUCUGUCGAUGAGAGAUGAGUUUUGGGGAUUUUAAUUUUUGUAGUACAUGUUUGUCAGAUUGAAAUACACAUAAUACAAUUUUGUUAUAAAAUUAGUUAAUCUAGAGUUGGUGUUGAGCAAAGAAGUUUUAACUUGUUAAUUACUGCAUUUCUAAAAAUUGAAAUGCCAAAAAAGCAGAGUAACCAAUAUAAAAUCAUUCAACAAAUGGACCAAUCCGUGUACUGAAGGAUCAAGAAAGUCGUGCAAGCCCCAUGAUUCCUCACAAUGGAAAUUUUCUUCCCUAGAUUAACCAGCAUGAUGUAGACUAAGAAUUUAUAUAAUUAGUAACUCCUUAUUCAAAGCUUGUACAUUCUUUAAUGCAGAUAGAGAAGUGGUGAAUCUAAACACUUGCCCAGCUGACAAUGAGUGUUUUGUUUUUUUCUUUAGAACUUCGAAUCACAAGAAGGCAAUAUGCAUCGCCCUUCAUAUAGCAGCUGCUCGACCAAGCAACCAAUUACCACCCUAAAAGCGUAGCCACUCGCCUUCUCUAAAGGAAACUACAAUAUCAAAACUCAAUUAUUAUCUGGCAAGUGGUAAGCUCAAUUUUGGUAGGCAGGUUAGAUUUCUUCAUUUGCAGAAGGAAUAGUAGUCUUCGGUAUGGGCCAGGGUGCACCUGCCAUGACUGCCUCAAUCUCUUUUAUAUUCUUAAAGUUUGUUAUAAUAUUGAUACUAAUUUUUAUCAUUUUUAUUUUUCUCCUUUGGGAGCUGUGAUAAAUUAAACUAGAUAAGUCACAUACUACAAAUACAAAAGUAGAUACUAUUUAUUUUCUGUAGUCACUUUAUCAUAAUAUGACUUCAACCAUUAUUAAAUUAAUUUAACAGAUUUCAACAUAGAAAGAAAAAAUCUCACUAGUUAACCAAAAUGAUAUCACAUAUUAUAUAAGUACCAAAAAAAUAAACCCUCUUUGAAUUUAUGACAGAGUACUGAACUAAGGUAACCUUCAAUUCCAUGGAAAAUGGAAAUUCAUUUCCACCUUUUGCCAAAAAUAAGUGUUUGAUGGGUAAAAAAUUCUAGGGAAUUCAUUUUCCAUGAUUCUUGCCACCUAAGCAAUUUUCCCACUUUUCCUUGAAUUGGAAUCCUCACCACUUCCACUUUUCCUUGAAUUGGAAUUCUCACCAAAAUGGUGAGAAUUCCAAUUCCAGUUUACUGUAGCUAAUUUUUUUUAUUUUUUUGGGCAAUGAAAACAAAUUCUAAAAAUAAUUGUAAAAAAAUAUUUCCUUUAAUUGACAAUUUUUAUGUAAAAGAAAGUCAAAAGAAUGCCAAAAUAUAGAUGAUUUUCUUGAAUAAUAUAUAUAUAUAUAUAUUUUGGUUGGCAAUGGAAACAAAAUCUAUCCAUUUAAUUGAUAAUUUUCAUACAAAACAAAGUCAAACGAACAAAAAAAACACUUUUAUUUCAACAUUUUCCAUUUGAAAAAUUAUACCAAUCAAACACAAUAAUUUACAAUUUUCAGGGAUACAAUUUCUCGGCAAUUCAAUUAUCUGGAAUUCGUUUUCAAUUCAAUUAAAUUUCAUCUUUGCAAUCAAAUGGAUCCUAAGAGACGCAAACAAUUCUAUUCACGAAAGAUUUAAAUGAAUCUAGAUCAAUAAGUUCAAAUUCAAGGUGGGCACAAAGACUUGCCACAUGAGAAGACCAACUUGAAUUUCGCAAAUUGUUUACAAGAUGAUAUUGGAUUCGAUUAGUCCAUCGAGAUUUUUUUUUCCUUUAAUUUUCAUAGAAAGGCUUGAGACCUCUCAAAUAUUGUAUUCUAUUAACUUGUAAAACCCACAAGGAAAAGAUUUCAGGCCGAAGAGAAUGACUUCAAAUUUUGUACAAAUAAAAAAGAAGACUUCAAGUUUUUUAUUGUAUCAUAUUCUUAAGAGAUCAUCAUAUAGUAUGAUUCCCAUGUUGAGAUUAUGCUUCUUCAAGAGCAUCAACUUUAUACUUUUUAAAUACUAAAUAUCAAUUUGUACCUCUUUAAGAACGAUAAUAAAUAAAAUUGAGUUUCUUUACGUUAAUUCAAUAUUUUUUUAGAAUAUUUUUAAUACGUAGUGUGUUAAUUUUUCAAGAACAUUGUUUAGAAUAUUAUGUAUUCCUUACAUUUGUGUUUGCUAUUUAUCAUUUUCAAGAAAAUUUUCAGCGCAAGGCUCCUAUUUACUCGAAGCUUAUUGAAGGCAUAUGAUGGAUACUUGAAUAAAUAUUAGGCUCAUCCUAGACAUGCAUUAUAUGAUUGUUUGUAGGAGGAUUGAUAUCAUCCCAUUGAUGAUGAAAAUAAAUUUAAGUGUGCAAGCUUUCUCGAUAUUUUUGGAUGACAUUUAUGUCUGUUGAAUAUUCUUUUUUAAAGUCGACUAAAAACGAACAAAAGGAAUUUCUUGGUGUGUAGAAUGUUGCAACUAACUACUAGCUUAGUGAUCGGAUCUAGAUCUUUGUUAGGUAACUAGAAUGGAAGGAAGAGAGAGCAUUGGCGUGAAUAUGAGGGGAUUUUUAAAAGAAAAUAGUUCUACCCACUCAAAGAAAGGCUUGAAUAAUAGGUAGGACUUUAUUUUUUGGAAUAAAAUCUUCACAUGGGGCCACCGCCAUGUGAGAUUUCUGUAAAACUUCUGGCAAUGGUUUAUCUGUACACAUAAUUUUUCCUCUUGGAUUUUUCCAUUUCAUAGGAAAAAUCUUUUUAUAAUGGAUGCCUUAAUGUUAAUCAUUAGGGUUAAGUCCCGAAGGCUUUUCGUUUUCCAACCUAUCUCGGCAUUUGAGCUUAACCCCACCUUUUCAACCAUCACACAGUUUGGAAAAUUGGAGCCAUUCCACUUUCUUCUACGGAGAAACGACAAGAAAUGGAAGAAUAAACACAAUAGAAAUAAUAUUAAAAUGCCGAUGAAAUUGGACAAAGCAACACCAAAGAAAUUAAUGCAAAGUCAAGACAAGAGUUGAACUCAUUGUAUUUAAAUGCCCUGUAACAAUGUCUACGGAUGACAGCAAUUAACUUCUGAGAUACAACGACUAACUUCUUCUUUUUGUGGCACUUCAAAGCACAGGAACAUCGAAUCAAAUUAUGACUUUUGUACUUCUUUUAAAUGAAAUGAAAACAAAUUUUUAUGUAGAAUUUUGUUUAAGGAAAUAUGAAUAUUUAUGUUAUGCUAUGAUUGCUUAUCACUUGAAUAAAGUAAAUGACGUCUUAAGGGUCUAAUUUGUAGAGGAUGAGAGGUUGUAAGUGAAGAGACACACCCUCAAAACUUAGCAACUUUUGUUGUCACUCACCUGUAACUUAAGCUACAAUCUUAUCACCCUCUCACCAUUCAAGCGGUAGAGUUGGGCAAAUACCCGGCCAAUUUUUCUCUUUUCAUUCCAACCUUGAACCAUAAUUUCUCAUUCGUCCGGAAUUGAUUUUAAGAUUUCAGACAUACGACACCGAUCUACUCGAUGAGCAGAACAAGUUAGUUUAUCUAUUUUCAUAAUUUGACUAUCAAAUCAAGUCCGAAUAUUGAAUCGAAGCUGACACAAAAGUCAUUUUACCAUGGUUUUAUGUUUUACCAAUUCUAGCAGCUUCUUGGGUAAACAAUGUCUUGUUUCCUGAAUCCAAGAAUGACCAACUCAAAAGUUUGAACUUCAAACCACAGCUUACAUUUCUAUCAAAUUAUUGCAAGACUUCAAUAUUUUUAAGAAUUUCCUAGAAACUAUAUCAAAAUAACCUGUACUUGGGUUAAUAUAUACAGAUCAGGGGUAAAUCCCUUUUAUUUUGGACUCCAAAGUCUCACUCAAACAAGCCCAAGGUACUUAUACUCUCUUCGUCUCAUAAUUUGUCAAGAUUAUAUAUCAUUUUGCUUGUUGAGUAUAGGCAAAAUUCUUUUAGUAUGUCCGUAUAUAACGUGUCUGAUUACAUUGUCAAUAAAUAUGAACCACUCUUAUUUAAAUCAUAAUAUUUAAUAUAGGGGUUAUAUUAAACAAAAAUAUAAGAAAAUUAUAUUUUUAACAUGUAUAAAAAUAGAAAUAAGUCUAAAACCCUUUAACCGAUGUAAGGUUUCUAUGUCCGUAUAACAUGCAAGAAACAUCUUCAAUACGCCCCCCAGGGCACAUCCAAGUUGGCGGAACAAUCACAUUGGGGGGCUCUGGAACCAAGUGUGGGGAGUUCGAUUCCUGGUUGGAGCAGCCAAGUGAUGUAAUAACCAGAGGAAGGGUUGGAGCAGCUUGGUGAUGUAAUAACCAUGGAGGAGGGUCCCUUUGGGGAAGGAGUAAAAGCCAUGUGGGAACAUCAGAAAGCUUUUUCCAUAGAGUAAGGAUGCACGUUACUUUCAUUUCCAUUUAAAAAAAAAAAAAAAAAAAAAAAAAAAAAAACAUCUUCAAUACAACGAUGUCCAUUAUUGUAAAUGUGGAAUAUAAAAUGAGAAUGGAGCUCCAAUGAAGCUGCUCUAAUCUAUUUAUUUCCCCAAAUGAUAAUUUGCUUGAACCAGGCUGAAUCAAACCCCAGCUCUUUGUUCUCUGGUCUCUUCUAUUUGAUCGAAUCAAAAUUGAACCCCACAAACCCUCGGAUCGUGACUCUCACUUGGAUUUUUGAAAUUCAGGUAAUUAUAGUUUGUUUUCUUUUUGCAGUUUUAAGAUUUUGAACUCUUGGAAUUUUGCUGCUUGUUGCAGUUGGGAAACUUUAUAUUCUAGGGUUUUUAUUGGAGGUUUUAAUGUAUCUCUGUUUCAUCGCUUUUCUGUACAAAAGACUUUGCUUCGUUUUCGUGCGCUCGCUGAGUAAUUUUGUAUUUUUUUUAUUUACUUUCUUGAUGAAAAUAUUCCUAUAGUUUGAUUUCUGUAAUUCUUUUGACUAACUGAUUAGGUUUAGUGUGGAUAUAUUUUUCUAUUUAUGACAGGAUAAAAGAAUUGUAUAGAGAGAGAUGCCAUUUUUUUUUAUAUAUAUCUUAUAAAGAAUCUGGCUCUGGGUUAAUAUGACUUUCACUUUUGUAUAGAUUGGGAAAAAAAACGAAAAAAGGAUUAUGUGUCAGGAAUUGAAUUUAGUUCCUCUCACCAAACCAUCAGGAAAUGUGUGAAGAAAGAUUGGGAAUUUAACAUAUUGUCAGGAAUUGAAUUUAGGUCCUCUCAUCAAACUAUCAAGAAAUGCGUGAAGAAAGAUUGGGAAUAUAAGAUAUUAAACAUUUGAGAUUUGAAAUGAAGCAUAAUAUUUCAUGACGGUUUCACAUUUGGUGGUGAAAUCUGUAACAAAUUAGCAGAAUGUCUGUAUAACUUUUGUUUUUUGAGGUUCUGCGGUGCUUACAAACUGCACAAAACUCUUUUUCCUUGCACAAAACCUGUAAGCUCAGCUUUUUGCAUAUUGUUGAUUAAGGUUAGAACUUUAAUUUUUAGAUGCUACGUGUCUUUAGAAAGAUAUGUAAACAAUUAAUUGCAUUAUAUGUCAUUGUUAUUUCACCCACUUUGGGGAGCAAGUCAAGUGAUUUUAGUGUCUACAUCUCAUAUGCAAAUUUAUAGAUAGUUCAGAUGCAUGCUACCUGAAUAUUUUCCUUCUUCUUAGCGUUCUUCUGGAUGUUAAACCAAUUUUAAUCACAAACUGGUUUAGUUCCUGUUUUAAAAACUUAAAAGAAUAAUAAUAAUUUCUAGUCCUCCAGUUGUAAAUUCCUGGCAGUUUAUUUUAUAUUGGCAGGUAUGAUUUUUUGGGCCUGUGUUACUCAAAAUCUGCAAUCUGUGUUUCAUUUGGGAUCUCAUUUCCAAGAAGAGGACUGUAAAUUUUUAAUCAAUUGUUUUUCAAGGUGAUAUCUCAAGUUGUAUGUAAAUAAAGAAAGAUAAUUGGGAUUAACUAAAAUUGGGGCAACAACAUGACUUUAUUUAAACUUAGGUUUGAUGUUUUAAAGAACUUUGAAUGAAGCAGUUAUAUUUAUUAUGUGUCAUAGAGAAUUUUGUAGUUCCAGUAGUGGAGGUUUAUUGAAGUAUGUCAUGAUGAUUCUGUAUGUUUGAAAGGAAUUUGUUAUUUUCUUGAGCCCUUUUUAUGUGGGCAGUACUCAAAAGAAGCUCAAGGAAUUGAAUGUUAUUAAGUACAAUAGUAUUCUCCGGGUGAUAUAUCUUUUUGUAGUUCACUCCACUAUGAUGUGACCUUUUUUCAUCAUGAAACUACAUUGAAGUCUGGAGAUGUCAAAUGAUAAGUGGGUUGGGACUGGUAAAAAUAGUGCCCGUUUGGCUCCCAUUAUUCAACAUUAUAAUGAAAGGAAUAGUAAUUUUUUGGAGAACGUGGGGUUAAAAAGGAAUGAAAAUUUUUUGGGUUCACGUGUAAUAUUAUUUUAUUGGUGAAUGUGUAAUUAAUUAGAAUAGAGAGAAAAAUAAAAUAUAAUUUAAUGGGGAAUAAUGGGGGCCAAACGGUUGCUUAGUGCGCUUCAUUAUAAAUAUCAUAUUUGAAUUCAAUAAAAAAAAUGUAAAAUUAGAAAAGAAUAAUAAUUAAAAAAGAACUCCCUAAUACUUAUAAAAAAAAAAAAAAAAAACCAAACUCCCUAAUCUUUUUUCCGUUAAUUGUGGAGAAAUGGUGAAAACGACCACUUAAUAAGCAAAAUAAAAAAAAUAAAAGAGCAAGAAAAGAACAAUUCUUGCUCUAAGCUUACUGCUCACAUUACUUCCAUUACUGCUGUUUGUGUAAUUUUGGUUGGUUCUCAGAGAUUUUAUAUUCCAGAAUUGUGUAUAUUUGAUUAUAGGAAUAUUAUGCUUGCGUAUGGUGCAACCAAUAGCACGAGUUUGCUUAAUCUGGUGUAGACCCACAUCUCCCCACCAGAUUAUCUAGUUAAGUCUGGAUACUAUUAAUUUACCGAUUAAUCUAGUCGGUGUAGUCAAAGCCAAACUAAGUAUUGGAUAACCUUUAUUCUUUAUCCAAAUAUGGUGUGCUAAAGAGACCCUGGAUGUUUUACCUGAAAUAUCUAAUGAUAUUGAGGUUAUAAUUCUUGUUUGAUAGAUAUUAGGAGAAAUUCUUAGUGAAUGCUUAUUUAUUGUUAAUCAGACUUCUCAGAAUCGCAUUUAAACUCAAUUUCUUUUUUUUAUAAGUUUUAACUUUUACGUGAAGGUUGUUAUGAAGUUAAGGAUAUAAUUUUUGUUUGUUAGAAAAUAGUCACCGAUUGUUUGCUGUAUUCAUAGUUUUGGUUAAACUCCUCGGAAUUGAAUUAUAAAACUAACUUAUUUCUUAUAUGUUCUAUGUGAAGGUUCUCAUGAAGUUGAGGUUGCUAGUUUGUCGGGAACUAGGUUAAUAAUUGUUCAUUGAAUUCAUAUUAGGAUAAAAAAUCUUCUCAUAAUUGCAUUUAAUCAUUAUAUUUAUUCCUUGAAUGUUAUACCUGUAUGUUCCUACGAAGUAUUCUCCUUUUUCCUUGGUUCUUCCCAGAAAAUUUCCUGUAUCAGCUUAACAGGUUUCUUCUUUUAUUUUAAGCGAAUUAUUCCUUUUUGCAGCUCAAAUUAUUUACCAAUCAAAAAUUCCAAUGGGAUACCACUUAAAUAAGACUAGAAAAUCCGGAAAGAAAAAACUCUCAUUGGAAUCCUUAACCUCCACUGAUAAUUCCUCUGCCACAUCAUCAUCACCGUCCUCCUCUGAUGAAUUUGAGUCCUCAAAACGGCACAAACGCACCCAUAAACGACGACAUGGUAAAGACCGGGAUGAAGGGCGUAAAAGCAAGAAAUCACGAAGAGAUUAUAAAGAGAAGAACAAGAAGAAGCAUACUAAAGAAACAAGA
rnacentral:lncRNA from 1 species